rnacentral:rRNA from 1 species
UACGUAGGGCGCAAGCGUUGUCCGGAAUUAUUGGGCGUAAAGAGCUCGUAGGCGGUUUGUUGCGUCGGCUGUGAAAUCCCGAGGCUCAACCUCGGGUCUGCAGUCGAUACGAGCAAACUAGAGUGUUGCAGGGGAGACUGGAAUUCCUGGUGUAGCGGUGAAAUGCGCAGAUAGUCAGGAGGAACACCGGUGGCGAAGGCGGGUCUCUGGACAACAACUGACGCUGGAGGAGCGAAAGCCGUGGGGGAGCAACAGG